rnacentral:rRNA from 1 species
GAUGAACGCUGGCGGCAUGCCUAACACAUGCAAGUCGAACGAAAUAUUUUCGAAUAUUUAGUGGCGGACGGGUGGGUAACGCGUAAGAACCUGCCCAAAGGUGGGGGAUAACAACUGGAAACGGUUGCUAAUACCCCGUACACUGAAAAGAGAAAGCUGAGAAGCGUCUUUGGAGGGGCUUGCGUCUGAUUAGCUUGUUGGUGAGGUAAAAGCUUACCAAGGCAACGAUCAGUAGCUGGUUUGAGAGGAUGAUCAGCCACACUGGGACUGAGACACGGCCCAGACUCCUACGGGAGGCAGCAGUGAGGAAUUUUCCGCAAUGGGCGAAAGCCUGACGGAGCAAUGCCGCGUGGAGGAAGAAAGCCUGUGGGUUGUAAACUCCUUUUCUUAGACAAGAAGAUAUGACGGUAUCUAAGGAAUAAGCAUCGGCUAACUCCGUGCCAGCAGCUGCGGUAAGACGGAGGAUGCAAGCGUUAUCCGGAAUUAUUGGGCGUAAAGCGUCUGUAGGUGGUUUACUCAGUCCGCUGUGAAAGAUCAGGGCUUCACCCUG